rnacentral:rRNA from 1 species
AAAUGAAUAGACGGGGGCCCGCACAAGCGGAGGAACAUGUGGUUUAAUUCGAUGAUACGCGAGGAACCUUACCUGGGCUUAAAUGUAUAGUGCAUAAUGUGGAAACACAUUUUUCCUUCGGGACUCUUUACAAGGUGCUGCAUGGUUGUCGUCAGCUCGUGCCGUGAGGUGUCGGGUUAAGUCCCAUAACGAGCGCAACCCUCAUCGUUAGUUGCCAACACGUGAAGGUGGGGACUCUAGCGAGACUGCCGGUGUAAACCGUGAGGAAGGUGGGGAUGACGUCAAAUCAGCACGGCCCUUAUGUCCAGGGCUACACACGUGUUACAAUGGCCAAUACAAAGGGCAGCCACCUGGUGACAGGGCGCUAAUCCUCAAAGUUGGUCUUAGUUCGGAUCGGAGUCUGCAACUCGACUCCGUGAAGCUGGAUUCGCUAGUAAUCGUAGAUCAGCCAUGCUACGGUGAAUACGUUCCCGGGCCUUGUACACACCGCCCGU